rnacentral:rRNA from 1 species
CCUACGGGUGGCUGCAGUGGGGGAUAUUGCACAAUGGGGGAAACCCUGAUGCAGCGACGCCGCGUGGGUGAAGAAGCGCCUCGGCGCGUAAAGCCCUGUCAUCAGGGAAGAAAAUGACGGUACCUGAAGAAGAAGCCCCGGCUAACUACGUGCCAGCAGCCGCGGUAAUACGUAGGGGGCAAGCGUUAUCCGGAUUUACUGGGUGUAAAGGGGGCGCAGACGGCGAUGCAAGCCAGGAGUGAAAGCCCGGGGCGCAACCCCGGGACUGCUCUUGCAACUGAGUGGCGAGAGGGCAGGAGGGGCAGGCGGAAUUCCUGGUGUAGCGGUGAAAUGCGUAGAGAUCAGGAGGAACACCGGUGGCGAAGGCGGCUUGCUGGACUGCAACUGACGUUGAGGCCCGAAAGCGUGGGGAGCAAACAGGAUUAGAUACCCUUGUAGUC